GCAGCCACCUAAACAUCAGGUCCAGGACUUAGAAUCUCUUGCUACUAGGUUGGUACAAGUCCUUCUCAGAUCUGGAGUUGAUCUGAGGUCGUUGGAGGUGCGGGUGAGAUCUCCAUCAACAGAUCUACAGGAAAGACUGUAGCAGGAUAGAUCUGCAAAGUCUGGUUCUAUCUACUUUCUUCCCUAUCUAGAAUACCCC
rnacentral:lncRNA from 1 species